UUAGCAUUUCCAGGGACUGAUGGGAAAUCUUCAGAGCUCUUAUCCAGGGAAGAAUCCGGACAAAGGAAAAGAGAUCAAACCUAAAAUACCAAGCCUUAUUAAGAUGAUGAGAUAUGAAUAAAGUAAAGAGACCAGGGAGGAGAGACCAGCUAUACGACAGUGUAACACCAGACACAGAGGAGAAGACACCGGAAAGAGAGAAGAGACCUGUGUGGGCUGUGGAGAUUCCUGCUUCUCAUCUCUGUUUACUGGAGAAUAAACUUCAGGUCUUUUAUGAGUUUCAUUCACUCGCAUACACUGUUAACACACACUCUGUAAACACACAAUGUUGUGUAGGCACCUACGCAUGCACACAAACCUUGUUGAGAUCUUCUUCCACCCACAGCUGUUUGUGUGAUUCAGAAAACAAAGAGAGAUUAGUGUGUGAGUGUGUGUAUGUGUGACUCAGACACAGGUGAGAGUGUGUGUGUAUAAUCAAGGUCACCCUUUGACGACUGCGAGACGUGGGAGCCCUCUGCUUUGUCGGAAGUGGAGGAGGAGAGGAAAGCUACAAGAAUUAUAUUUAUAUGAUAAAUAUUCUAACUGAAUAUACACAAACACACACAUAAACACAUGUUCGCACACCCACUCUGAACCCAUUUGCGAUGUCACCCUAAACUCCAGUGCUCCCGUCUGUGAACGUGGGGUUCUGGCGUUGCCAUGGCAGCAGUGUUGUCCCUCCAGCAGGUAUUUUAAGGGAGCAGUCAUCCUCUGCUGAUACCACAGGAAGACCAGAGGCACCACAGUACCCACUUAAGCUUUAUUAGAUGACCUCAAGACUUGUUUGAUUGAUUUAACCGUGUCAGG